AGCCUUCAGUAUGCGCUCUGAGAUUUCGUCACACACCAGACCACAAGGGGCUGAUGAAACUUUCUAGAUAAGUGAAGCG
rnacentral:pre_miRNA from 1 species